UCGUUGCCGCAGGCUGUCGUGUCUGUCUUUUAAUGUAGAAUUAUGUAAUAAUUCGCCAAUAUUGAACUGCGUCUAUUGACGAUUGACAGCAUGUGUUGGAUUCUCACGCUUGUCUUUUUAUGAUAAAAAUAUAGCUAGGUAUUUACAUUCUGUAUACGGUCCCCGUGGACCUGUAAGUCUCCGGAAAUAAUGAAAAUACCUAUUCCGAAAGCAAAAUGAUGAGUGAUUACUAUUCGAUUGAUAUAGAUUAAUGUUGAUUGAUUUCAUGAAUGACGACAGGGAAAGCCUUGGGACAAAAUUUCUGUAUGUUCCUAAGCCGGUCAUAUAUGUUUAAGAAAUCUAUUUAUGUCGGUAACACAAGUCAGUCCUAGUCAGGAUCAGAGGUCUUUCAGUUUUAUGUUUGAUCAUUCAAGCUUUUAUUAGUCAGACUGUGGAGUUGAAUAUGUAGACCUACAGGCAGUGAUUUGACUGCUAUAGAGGUAGGGGAAAAUGGACACAGCCAUCAUAUAGAGCACAAGAAACAGGAUAUGGCAACAUAAGUACAGGCCUGCGCAAAAAUUAUUUGGUCAAAUUCUGUCAGCGCAAAUGUAGUUGUCCGGUAACUUUUCACACAUGCAUAGUUCAGUUUUAAAUCAUCUUUCGCACAUAAAAUUCUUUUGACCUUUUGGUGCACUUGUUUCAUCAUCUAUCCACAGAUCCUUCCAUGCAAAUGCAGGCAAAAUUAUGUUUUCCAUGCAUGAAAAAAUGUAACAUUUCCCGCGCAAGAUAAAUACAGGUGCAGCGGCCUCAUAUUUAUCACGAAAUGAUGAAAAUAUCAACUGCAUAUCACAGUUUUAGUAACUGGGGGAUACAGGGGGGCUUACCUCCAUCUAAGAAAUAAAGAAAAGGUAGGAUGGUUAGGUAUAGGUUUUGGGGUUCACACGUUACGCUGGUUUGGGACUUCGUCUCUGGAGGGUGCGGAGAGUGUGUCACUCUUGGUAACAAUUACUGUUGUUUCAGACUUUCUGUCCACAGGUUUUUCUUUCUCCUUCCCUUCCAACUGAGCAAUGAAAACAAGUAGUUGUUUUUACCAUAUUAGCUGACUAGCAACAAGGGUUUACUACUGGGCUAAGGCACCAGAGAUGUAUGCCAAGACCAAAUUUGAUAUAUACCAAGCCAGAUUCUGAAUACCUGUUUGCCAAUAUAUGCCAGUGAUGUUAACGAAGGGAAAUGUUUGCUGGCGUGCAGUAUUUAAAGAGAUCUGUAAAAGAUCUCUGGUGGAAAGGGCAUUGAUUCCAGAGUGUUUGUUUGAGUCUCUUUUGUGACUGGGACCCAAACUAUGGCUACACAGGCGGAGAUGGCAAUCUAUAGAACCUCAGAUUGGUUUUAAGGAAGGAAAGGAUGGAGGCAGUUGCAGUCACUGUGCAUAUGGUAUAUCAUGUGGGU